UACAGAGGAUGCAAGCGUUAUCCGGAAUGAUUGGGCGUAAAGCGUCUGUAGGUGGCUUUUUAAGUCCGCCGUCAAAUCCCAGGGCUCAACUCUGGACAGGCGGUGGAAACUACCAAGCUGGAGUACGGUAGGGGCAGAGGGAAUUUCCGGUGGAGCGGUGAAAUGCGUAGAGAUCGGGAGGAACACCAGAGGCGAAGGCGGCGACCUGGACAGGUACUGACACUCAACUACGAAAGCGUGGGGAGCAAACAGG
rnacentral:rRNA from 1 species